UACCUGGUUGAUCCUGCCAGUAAUCAUAUGCUUGUCUCAAAGAUUAAGCCAUGCAUGUCUAAGUACAUGCCGAAAUAAGGCGAAACCGCGAAUGGCUCAUUAAAUCAGUUAUGGUUCCUUAGAUCGUUUCUUCCUACUUUGAUAACUGUGGCAAUUCUAGAGCUAAUACAUGCAGUGAGCCUGAAGCCCUUUGGGCGACGGGUGCUUUUAUUAGACCAAGAUCGAUCGGGUUUCGGCCCGUAUUGUGUGGUGACUCUGGAUAACUUUGUGCUGAUCGCAUGGCCACGAGCCGGCGACGUUUCUUUCAAGUGUCUGCCUUAUCAACUUUCGAUGGUAGGUUACUUGCUUACCAUGGUUGUUACGGGUAACGGAGAAUCAGGGUUCGAUUCCGGAGAGGGAGCCUGAGAAACGGCUACCACAUCCAAGGAAGGCAGCAGGCGCGCAAAUUACCCACUCCCGGCACGGGGAGGUAGUGACGAAAAAUAACAAUACGGGACUCUUUUGAGGCCCCGUAAUUGAAAUGAGUACACUCUAAAUCCUUUAACGAGGAUCAAUUGGAGGGCAAGUCUGGUGCCAGCAGCCGCGGUAAUUCCAGCUCCAAUAGCGUAUACUAAAGCUGCUGCGGUUAAAAAGCUCGUAGUUGGAUCUCAGUUCCAGACGAGUAGUGCAUCUACCCGAUGCGACGGCUCGGACUGAACAUCAUGCCGGUCCUUUCUUGGUGCACUUCAUUGUGUGCCUCGAGAAGGCCGGUGCUUUUACUUUGAAAAAAUUAGAGUGCUCAACGCAGGCGAGUCGCCUGAAUAAACUUGCAUGGAAUAAUAGAACAAGACCUCGUUUCUGUUCUGUUGGUUUUUGGAAUACGAGGUAAUGAUUAAGAGGGACAGACGGGGGCAUUCGUAUUGCGGCGCUAGAGGUGAAAUUCUUGGACCGUCGCAAGACGAACUACUGCGAAAGCAUUUGCCAAGAAUGUUUUCUUUGAUCAAGAACGAAAGUCAGAGGUUCGAAGGCGAUCAGAUACCGCCCUAGUUCUGACCAUAAACGAUGCCAACCAGCGAUCCGCCUGAGUUACUCAAAUGACUCGGCGGGCAGCUUCCGGGAAACCAAAGUGUUUGGGUUCCGGGGGAAGUAUGGUUGCAAAGCUGAAACUUAAAGGAAUUGACGGAAGGGCACCACCAGGAGUGGAGCCUGCGGCUUAAUUUGACUCAACACGGGAAAACUUACCCGGCCCGGACACUGGGAGGAUUGACAGAUUGAGAGCUCUUUCUUGAUUCGGUGGAUGGUGGUGCAUGGCCGUUCUUAGUUGGUGGAGCGAUUUGUCUGGUUAAUUCCGAUAACGAACGAGACUCUAGCCUAUUAAAUAGGUGCGGGGUUCCCAGCACCUUACAACCUUCUUAGAGGGACAAGCGGCUCCUAGCCGCACGAAACAGAGCAAUAACAGGUCUGUGAUGCCCUUAGAUGUCCGGGGCCGCACGCGCGCUACACUGAAGGAAGCAGCGUGUCUUUAUCCCUGUCUGAAAGGACUGGGUAACCCGUGGAACUUCUUUCGUGAUUGGGAUAGGGGCUUGCAAUUGUUCCCCUUGAACGAGGAAUUCCCAGUAAGCGCGAGUCAUAAGCUCGCGUUGAUUACGUCCCUGCCCUUUGUACACACCGCCCGUCGCUACUACCGAUUGAAUGAUUUAGUGAGGUCUUCGGACCGAUGUCCGGCGCGGCCUUUCGGUUGCGCCGGUCUGUUGGAAAGAUGACCAAACUUGAUCAUUUAGAGGAAGUAAAAGUCGUAACAAGGUUUCCGUAGGUGAACCUGCGGAAGGAUCAUUA
rnacentral:rRNA from 1 species